GCCAAAUGCAAUGAAUAGCGAAGUAGAAGCAGCUGUGCAUCUUCCGCUGGGACAUAUCGUGUGAUAGAGGCAGAAUAAAUGUGUAUAUAUCAUUUGGCUGUGAGAUAUUUAUUUAGUUUUAAGUGUGAUACUGCUUCUUCUCACUUCUAAUUAUAUGUAACAUGCCAGAAGGAUACCAAAACAGUGUUCAGAUUUAAUUGCUUUAAUGUAAUGUGUUUCGAUAGCAAAUAUUUUGUAUAUCAUUCUGUGAAUUAUGCACGGACGUGGACGGAACGACAUUAAUAUUCUGUCAUUUACAAGAAUUAAAGCGUGCUCACUUUGUGAAUGUUCUAAGAACUGAUUUGAUUAUUCAUUUUUGUGUUCGCUGAAUAGAUGUAAAUAAUUCAAUUGUUCCUCUCUUUUUAAAAAUGCGAGUCGGUCCCACAUGAGUGAUUUGAAGGAAAAAUUGAAAUAUUGGGGCAUCACAAAAACGUUGAAAGCUUAAGGUGAUUUGUAAUUGAUUUGAGAAAAAGUAACUCAAAUAUUGCGAGUAUUAUUGAUGAGAUAUCAUUUCCACUGUUUGUCACAACCCCUUUUUAUCACUAAGAAAAUGAAAAUUGAUUGAAGGAAUUGAUGAUAGGAGAAGCAAAGUGGGAGAAAGAAAUUCCAAGAAUUCCAUUUACAGGAAAAUUCCCCUUCAAAAUUGGGAUGGAGCUGGACAACCUCUUAUUAUUCUUAUUAUCACCUAUAAGGUGUUUAAGGCCUGAGCCACUGUCACGUUAACGCUUACCUCUUAGCUGCAAUAAAGUUAGUGUACCUGAUUAGGAUUAGGAUUAGGAGCAACAGGAGGAUUAGGAACCUAGUCCAAGAUCAUGAAACAUUUUUUUAAAAAAGUUUCAUAGAAUAUUGAAAAUAUUGUAAAUGUUUGAAAUGCUGAAAAAUUUUAUUUCAUUUGAAAUAAAAAUAUUUGUGCAUA